AUUGAACGCUGGCGGCAGGCCUAACACAUGCAAGUCGAACGAGUGGCGGACGGGUGAGUAAUGUCUGGGAAACUGCCCGAUGGAGGGGGAUAACUACUGGAAACGGUAGCUAAUACCGCAUACCAUCGGAUGUGCCCAGAUGGGAUUAGCUUGUAGGUGAGGUAACGGCUCACCUAGGCGACGAUCCCUAGCUGGGCUGAGAGGAUGACCAGCAAGGUUGGAACUUAGAAACGGUCCAAAUUCCUACGGGAGGAAUCAGUGGGGAAGAUUGCACAAUGGGCGCAAGCCUGAUGCAGCCAUGCCGCGUGUAUGAAGAAGGCCUUCGGGUUGUAAAGUACUUUCAGCGGGGAGGCGUUACCCGCAGAAGAAGCACCGGCUAACUCCGUGCCAGCCGCCGCGGUAAUUC
rnacentral:rRNA from 1 species